rnacentral:sRNA from 1 species
AUGUACCACUCGUACACUGCGGUUCUGAGCGCGCCCUCCGCGCCCACCUGACGACUGCUCGCUACGUUUUGUUAGCC